UGUAAGCGUAUACCAAAGUUGUUGCAGUUAAAACGCUCGUAGUCGGAAUUUGGCAGUUCCGGAUGUGUGCACGUCGUGUGCGCACUUCGCGGGGAUUGCUUUUGUGGUCUUGCGUAGGAUGAGGCACGUUUAUUAGUGAACGUCCUCACGCAACCACUUUUUACUGUGAGAAAAUCAGAGUGCUCAAAGCAGGCAUUUGCCGUGAAUGUAUUAGCAUGGAAUAAUAGAAUAGGACUUGGUUCUAUUUUGUUGGUUUGUUGGGACUGAGUAAUGAUUAAGAGGGACAGUUGGGGGCAUUUGUAUUUCGGUGCUAGAGGUGAAAUUCUUAGAUUACCGAAAGACAAACUGCUGCGAAAGCGUCUGCCAAGGAUGUUUUCAUUGAC
rnacentral:rRNA from 1 species